GACGAACGCUGGCGGCGUGCUUAACACAUGCAAGUCGAACGGACAGACCCUGCUUUUGUUUGUUUCUCGUGUGGCGAACGGGUGAGUAACACGUGAGUAACCUGCCCUUAACUUUCUGGUAUCUUCAGGAGACUGGGGCUCAUACCGGGUAGGAUCUCCUGCUGCAUGGUGGUCAAUGGAAAGUUUCGGCGGUUCGGUCUGGACUCGCGGGUUCUCAGCUUGUUGGUGGAGUAGUGGCUUACCCAGGCUUCGACGGGUAGCACGCCUGAGCGGGUGACCGGCCACACUGGGACCGAGAGACGGCCGAAAUAGCGAAGGGAGGGAGAAGGGGGGAAGAAUGAACAAUGGGCGGAAGCCUGAUGCAGAAACGCCGCGUGCGGGAUGACGGCCUUCGGGUUGUAAAACGCAUGCGUCUGUGACGAAGCGUGAGUGACGGGAAUGGGUAAAGAAGCACAGGCUAACUAAGGU
rnacentral:rRNA from 1 species